UACGUAGGGUGCGAGCGUUGUCCGGAAUUAUUGGGCGUAAAGAGCUUGUAGGCGGUUUGUCGCGUCUGCUGUGAAAUCUCAAGGCUCAACCUUGAGCUUGCAGUGGGUACGGGCAGACUAGAGUGUGGUAGGGGAGACUGGAAUUCCUGGUGUAGCGGUGAAAUGCGCAGAUAUCAGGAGGAACACCGGUGGCGAAGGCGGGUCUCUGGGCCGUAAACUGACGCUGGAGGAGCGAAAGCAUGGGGAGCGAACAGG
rnacentral:rRNA from 1 species